GAUGAACGCUGGCGGCGUGCCUAAUACAUGCCAGUCGAGCGAACGGACGAGAAGCUUGCUUCUCUGAUGUUGGCGGCGGACGGGUGAGUAACACGUGGAUAACCUACCUAUAAGACUGGGAUAACUUCGGGAAACCGGAGCUAAUACCGGAUGAUAUUUUGAACCGCAUGGUUCAAAAGUGAAAGACGGUCUUGCUGUCACUUAUAGAUGGAUCCGCGCUGCAUUAGCUAGUUGGUAAGGUAACGGCUUACCAAGGCAACGAUGCAUAGCCGACCUGAGAGAGUGAUCGGCCACACUGGAACUGAGACACGGUCCAGACUCCUACGGGAGGCAGCAGUAGGGAAUCUUCCGCAAUGGGCGAAAGCCUGACGGAGCAACGCCGCGUGAGUGAUGAAGGUCUUCGGAUCGUAAAACUCUGUUAUUAGGGAAGAACAUAUGUGUAAGUAACUGUGCACAUCUUGACGGUACCUAAUCAGAAAGCCACGGCUAACUACGUG
rnacentral:rRNA from 1 species